GGUAGUAUGCCAGAGUUGGUUAAUGGGUGAGACUUUUAACAAAAUACAAGGCAUCUCAUGGGCUUUGCCUUCAUGGGUUCGAAUCCCGCUGCUGUCA